rnacentral:rRNA from 1 species
UACGGAGGGUGCAAGCAUUAAUCGGAUUUAUUGGGCGUAAAGGGCGCGUAGGCGGAAGGAUAAGUCAGAUGUGAAAUCCCAGAGCUCAACUCUGGAACGGCAUUUGAAACUAUCUUUCUAGAGGGUAGGCGGAGAAAAUGGAAUUCCACAAGUAGCGGUGAAAUGCGUAGAUAUGUGGAAGAACACCAGUGGCGAAGGCGGUUUUCUAGCUUACUCCUGACGCUGAGGCGCGAAAGCAAGGGGAUCAAACGGG